AAGGAGCUGCCUCACGGCCAAGCCAUGACUACGGUAGCAGUACAUGUGGACUCUAAAGCUGAGCUCACCACCCUGCUGGAGCAGUGGGAGAAGGAACAUGGCAGUGGGCAGGACAUGGUACCUAUUCUUACCAGGAUGUCUGAAUUGAUUGAAAAAGAAACUGAAGAAUAUCGUAAGGGGGAUCCAGACCCAUUUGAUGAUCGACAUCCUGGUCGAGCUGAUCCAGAGUGUAUGCUGGGCCAUCUGCUGAGAAUACUCUUCAAGAAUGAUGAUUUCAUGAAUGCACUGGUGAAUGCAUAUGUGAUGACAAGCCGAGAGCCCCCUUUAAAUACUGCAGCUUGCAGACUUCUACUGGAUAUCAUGCCAGGGCUGGAAACUGCUGUUGUUUUUCAAGAAAAGGAAGGAAUUGUCGAAAAUCUUUUCAAAUGGGCCCGAGAGGCUGAUCAGCCAUUGAGGACGUAUUCUACUGGACUAUUAGGAGGUGCUAUGGAAAAUCAGGACAUUGCUGCCAACUAUAGGGAUGAAAAUUCACAGCUGGUAGCAAUUGUGCUUCGAAGACUUCGGGAGCUACAGCUUCAGGAAAUGGCUUUGCGGCAAGAAAGCAAGCGUCCCAGCCCCCGAAAGCUCUCCUCUGAACCCCUGUUGCCUCUGGAUGAAGAAGCGGUGGAUAUGGACUAUGGCGACAUGGCUGUAGAUGUAGUGGAUGGUGAACAAGAGGAAGCCUCUGGAGACAUGGAGAUCUCCUUUCACCUUGAUUCAGGCCACAAGACCAGUAGCAGAAUGAACUCAGCAACAAAACCUGAGGAAGGAGGAUUGAGGAAAAACAAGUCAGCGAAACAGGGUGACAGAGAGAGCUUUAGGAAAGCCAAGCAGAAGUUGGGUUUCUCAUCAUCAGAACCGGAUCGGAUGUUCGUUGAGCUGUCCAAUAGCAGUUGGUCAGAAAUGUCCCCCUGGGUGAUUGGCACCAAUUAUACCCUUUGUCCUAUGACUCCUGCCAUUGAACAGCGGCUUAUUCUCCAGUAUUUAACUCCUCUGGGAGAAUACCAGGAGUUACUCCCCAUAUUCAUGCAGCUUGGGUCCCGGGAGCUGAUGAUGUUCUAUAUCGACCUGAAGCAGACUAACGACGUUCUACUCACGUUUGAGGCGCUCAAGCACCUAGCAUCUCUCCUGCUCCAUAACAAGUUUGCCACAGAAUUUGUUGCACAUGGUGGAGUACAGAAAUUACUGGAAAUUCCUCGUCCCUCUAUGGCUGCAACUGGUGUAUCCAUGUGCUUGUAUUACCUGUCCUACAACCAGGAUGCCAUGGAAAGAGUUUGCAUGCAUCCCCACAAUGUCCUGUCUGAUGUGGUGAACUAUACCCUGUGGUUAAUGGAAUGUUCUCAUGCCUCAGGAUGCUGCCAUGCUACCAUGUUUUUCUCCAUCUGUUUCUCCUUCCGGGCCGUGUUGGAGCUCUUUGACCGCUAUGAUGGUCUUCGCCGACUGGUGAACUUGAUCAGUACUUUGGAGAUUCUGAAUUUGGAAGAUCAGGGUGCACUUCUGAGUGAUGAUGAAAUAUUUGCUAGCCGCCAAACUGGGAAACAUACUUGCAUGGCCUUGCGCAAGUACUUUGAGGCUCACCUGGCCAUUAAAUUGGAACAAGUGAAGCAGUCACUUCAGAGGACUGAGGGAGGCAUUCUUGUGCAUCCUCAGCCCCCGUACAAGGCAUGUUCGUAUACUCAUGAACAGAUUGUGGAAAUGAUGGAGUUUUUGAUAGAAUAUGGCCCAGCGCAGCUCUACUGGGAACCCGCUGAAGUCUUCCUCAAACUUUCUUGUGUUCAGCUCUUGUUGCAGCUUAUCUCUAUUGCCUGCAAUUGGAAGACCUAUUAUGCCAGGAAUGACACUGUGCGCUUUGCUUUGGAUGUCCUGGCUAUUCUUACUGUUGUGCCCAAAAUCCAGCUCCAAUUGGCAGAGUCAGUGGAUGUGCUAGAUGAGGCUGGCUCCACCGUCUCCACUGUAGGUAUCAGCAUUAUUUUGGGAGUGGCUGAGGGUGAGUUCUUUAUCCAUGAUGCUGAGAUUCAGAAGUCAGCACUUCAAAUUAUCAUCAACUGUGUGUGUGGCCCGGAUAACCGAAUUUCCAGUAUUGGUAAAUUUAUCUCUGGAACUCCUCGGAGGAAGCUGCCUCAGACUCCCAAAAGUAGCGAGCACACCCUGGCCAAGAUGUGGAAUGUGGUCCAGUCCAACAAUGGCAUCAAGGUGCUUUUGUCCUUACUGUCCAUCAAGAUGCCCAUCACAGAUGCAGACCAGAUCCGGGCCCUGGCCUGCAAGGCCCUGGUGGGCCUGUCUCGAAGUAGCACUGUCCGGCAGAUCAUCAGCAAGCUGCCCCUUUUCAGCAGCUGCCAGAUCCAGCAGCUGAUGAAGGAACCUGUGCUGCAGGACAAGCGCAGCGACCACGUCAAGUUCUGCAAGUAUGCCGCCGAGCUCAUCGAGCGGGUGUCAGGGAAGCCCCUUCUCAUUGGCACCGAUGUGUCCCUGGCACGACUGCAGAAGGCAGAUGUUGUUGCCCAGUCAAGGAUCUCCUUCCCUGAGAAAGAGCUGCUUCUGUUGAUACGAAACCAUCUCAUUUCUAAAGGACUUGGGGAGACAGCCACUGUGCUGACAAAAGAGGCUGACCUGCCCAUGACUGCUGCCUCCCACUCUUCUGCCUUUACCCCAGUCGCUGCUGCUGCUUCUCCUGUCUCUCUCCCCCGAACCCCUCGCAUCGCCAACGGCAUUGCAACUCGACUAGGCAGCCAUGUGGCUGUGGGUGCCACUGCUCCUCCUGCCCCCACUGCCCAUCCUCAGCCACGGCCCCCCCAGGGCUCACUAGCUCUGCCCGGCCCGUCUUACGCGGGCAACUCCCCUGUGAUUGGUAGGAUCAGUUUUAUCAGAGAGAGACCAUCACCCUGCAAUGGCAGGAAAAUCAGAGUGUUGCGGCAAAAGUCGGACCAUGGCGCCUACAGCCAAAGCCCAGCCAUAAAAAAGCAGUUGGACAGGCAUCUUCCUUCCCCACCGACGCUGGACAGUAUCAUCACAGAGUACCUGAGAGAGCAGCAUGCGCGCUGCAAGAACCCCGUUGCCACCUGCCCACCUUUCUCCCUCUUUACUCCUCACCAGUGUCCUGAGCCAAAACAGAGGCGGCAGGCGCCCAUCAACUUUACCUCCAGACUGAACCGCAGAGCGUCGUUUCCAAAGUAUGGCGGGGUGGAUGGCGGGUGCUUCGAUAGGCACCUUAUCUUUAGCAGGUUCCGUCCUAUCUCAGUGUUCCGGGAAGCCAAUGAGGAUGAGAGUGGCUUCACCUGCUGUGCAUUCUCAGCCCGGGAGCGGUUCCUGAUGCUUGGCACCUGCACUGGGCAGUUGAAGCUCUACAAUGUGUUUAGUGGACAGGAGGAGGCCAGCUAUAACUGUCACAACUCGGCCAUCACACACCUUGAACCUUCCAGGGACGGGUCCUUGCUGCUGACAUCUGCUACUUGGAGCCAGCCUCUGUCUGCACUUUGGGGAAUGAAAUCGGUGUUUGAUAUGAAGCAUUCCUUCACAGAAGAUCACUAUGUGGAGUUCAGUAAGCACUCUCAGGACCGGGUCAUCGGCACGAAAGGAGACAUUGCCCACAUUUAUGAUAUUCAGACUGGCAACAAGCUGUUGACUCUGUUUAACCCAGAUCUUGCCAACAACUACAAGAGGAACUGUGCCACCUUUAAUCCUACAGAUGAUCUGGUCUUAAAUGAUGGCGUCCUCUGGGAUGUCCGCUCUGCGCAGGCCAUCCACAAGUUCGACAAGUUCAACAUGAACAUCAGUGGUGUUUUCCAUCCGAAUGGGCUGGAGGUCAUCAUUAAUACUGAGAUUUGGGACCUUCGCACUUUCCAUCUUUUACAUACAGUCCCUGCUCUGGAUCAGUGCCGAGUGGUGUUCAACCACACAGGGACAGUGAUGUAUGGAGCUAUGUUGCAGGCAGAUGAUGAAGAUGACUUAAUGGAAGAGAGGAUGAAAAGCCCUUUUGGAUCAUCCUUCCGAACAUUUAAUGCAACUGACUACAAACCUAUAGCAACCAUCGACGUGAAGCGGAACAUCUUUGACCUGUGCACAGACACCAAGGACUGCUACCUGGCUGUCAUCGAGAACCAAAGCAGCAUGGAUGCUCUCAACAUGGACACGGUGUGCAGGCUGUAUGAAGUGGGCAGGCAGCGCCUGGCAGAGGACGAGGACGAAGAAGAGGACCAGGAGGAGGAGGAGCAGGAGGAGGAAGACGACGAUGAAGAUGACGAUGACACCGAUGAUCUCGAUGACCUUGACACUGACCAAUUGCUGGAGGCGGAGUUGGAGGAGGAUGACAACAAUGAGAACGCAGGGGAGGAUGGGGACAAUGACUUCUCUCCCUCUGACGAGGAGCUGGCCAACCUUCUGGAGGAGGGAGAGGACGGGGAGGAUGAAGACUCCGAUGCAGACGAGGAAGUGGAACUGAUCCUGGGGGACACCGACAGCUCGGACAACUCUGACCUGGAAGAUGACAUCAUCUUAUCUCUGAACGAGUGAGGAGCAUCACCACGUGGAAGUCUUGGCAGCUCUAGCCAUGCAGGAGAGAAGCCGCCUUCCGAGAGGCAGUCGGCACGGUGGUACGUAGCUCAGAGAAGAGGGGACACAUUUGGUUUGAAGUAAACAAGCAAGACAGACAGCUAAACUCACCAGGGGCUGGUGACGCCCUGCUGGGCUCGGAGCACCACAAGCUGUCACACACCGAAGCGCGCCUGUGUCGCUCAGGUACCUCUUGGUCCUCUAGAGAGCAGAGGUCUCGGCUCCUAAGUUGCGUCAUGCCUCAGCUUAAAUAGGUCGCUAACACCUAACCAGUAGAUAGUUUGCUGGUGCUGAAUGGAUUAGAAGAAAACGGGUUAAAAGUAAAGAAAUAGUAAAAGCACUAUAUUCUUCUAGUCAUUAUCGGAGCCACUGUCUCCCUGACUGUGGCAGGAGCUCCUGGGAGCACCCGGGCUCUCUCGGGGGAGAGGGGCCUCCGGCAGGAAAGCCAAAUUCUGGUUGCCUUGACAACACACCCGCAGGGGAGCGCCCUGAGAGGCCACGGAAGCAUCAGCCCUCGUCCUCAUGCCACCAGGGCGCAGGCGAGUCACUUAGGAGGAGCCCUCAUGUUGAUUUUGCCUUUAACAACCUAGUGGACCCAGGGGAGGCGCUGGCGCCCGCAGUGGCGGCGUCUCCUCUCGGGCCUUGCCCACCUGAGCUGCCGAGGCCCCUCGGACAGGUCCCGGCACCUGUUGUGUCUUAAGUCGAAGGAAGCGGUUGAGAAGAGGGUGUGAGGGGCAGGAGGGAGUCGCACACAGGCUGUGGCUCAUCACCAAAACUCGAGUUCUUUUGGGGACCAGAGAACACGUAUGUAGCCCUCAAGGGGGACAAGGCGAGGCUGCAGUGUCUCCAGCCAGGUUUCCCAGGCUUCUGUUCGGGGAGCCGGAGGCGGUGUUCUGGGUCCCGAGCGCCCACUCGGCAGGCACCCCGCGAGGCCGCUCUGGCCUGUGGCCGGCAUUGGUGAGACCUGCAGGAAGCCUGCCGGGCGGUGGGCCAGCCCUCCCCUCGCUCCACACCACAGGCCAAUAAACUGGUUCCCACUUC